rnacentral:rRNA from 1 species
GCUUGCAGUCAUAUCACCCUCAGCAAGUACGAUCUCGUCUAAUAUCGAGAGCUAAGCAGGGUCUGACCUGGUACUUGAAUCAGAGCCCGCUUGGUGCCUGGUGCUGUAAGGU